rnacentral:lncRNA from 1 species
AUUUGAUUUACAGUCUUUUCAGAUUGUUCACAUUGUUGCUGUGAUAUGUGGCACUUCCAGGAAGAGCAGUACUGCACCAGGAAGCUCGAUUAUGCCCCAGUGUUACAGCAUCACCUUUAGAGGAACUGGGCACAAAAAGUAAUGGCUGUGUGUUUCAUGCCAAGAUCACACACCAACAAUUGAGAUGAGGACAGAAGCACUGGAAAAGCUAUUUAUCCACAAAUGGUAUUUCUUAGAUACCUAAGAAAUGUUAUUAAAUGAAGAUGCAUGCAGAAAUGGUGGAAUGGUGGAAACUAUUCUUACUGAUUCACUGAACAGGAAGGAAAAUAAAAUGUAAAGGCUGGAAAAGCUGAGGAGAAAAAAAAAAAAAUUGACUGUUUCUCAGGUGAAUAUGUUGAAGUUUAGAAGUUUAGAAGUUUCUUUUCAACAAAGCUCAUAUGGAAACUAAGCUCUGAUGGACUUCUGCCUGCCUGCUAGGUUUGCAACCAAAACUUUCCCAGUUUGCAAUCAUUUUUGAAGCUUUCAGUCCCCUUUGACUUCUUGGUCCUGCAUCGUGAAGAUACCUUGACAGUCAUCAAGCCCACUAGAAAGCUAGUGUGGGUGAAUGUGGAAACAUAAUGCCCAGAGUCAAAGGCUAAGAGUCUAACUUUUUCUAUCCCAAGAAAAUAGUUCCUUUCACAAGCUGAAACUGCUGUGGUAGCUCUUUCACUGAGCUACAUAAAUAUCUGAACUGG